rnacentral:tRNA from 1 species
GGAAGUUUGGCCGAGUGGUAAGGCGUCUGUCUUGAAAACAGCAGCCGGGUGUCACAGCCCGCGGGGGUUCGAUCCCCUCAACUUCCGCCA